CGGAGUGGCAGACGGGUGAGUAACACGUGGGAACAUACCCUUCGGUUCGGAAUAACUCAGGGAAACUUGAGCUAAUACCGGAUGCGUCCGCGAGGAGAAAGAUUCAUCGCCGGAGGAUUGGCCCGCGUCUGAUUAGCUUGUUGGCGGGGUAAUGGCCCACCAAGGCGACGAUCCGUAGCUGGUCUGAGAGGACGAUCAGCCACACUGGGACUGAGACACGGCCCAG
rnacentral:rRNA from 1 species